GGAUGACUUCUGCCAUCUCUUGUCUUCUGGAUAAAUCCGCUUCCUUACAAGUCCCAGUUGUAAGCAGCAUGUUGUUUACAUGCCCUGAUCAGAGCAAUCAAAGGAAGUUGUGAGAUGCCCAAUUCAUACAGUUUGACUUUCUGCCUAAAGCUACAGCCAUUUUUCAGCUGUGGCCCCUACACAAUGGGAUUUGAAGUAAGAAAUGAUGCUGAGACUGGCACAUUACAAGGCUCCAAAGAGGUAGCAGGCUUUGCUGGGGAGGGAGGAAGAGGAGAGGAGGUUGGUCAAAGUCAGACAAGGUGCUAGUCAGAGGUUCAUGUGACAAGGCAGCUGAUCACCGAGGCUCCGAUGGUGAAUGAAGUCGAU